GAUGAAGAACGUAGCGAAAUGCGAUAAGUAAUGUGAAUUGCAGAAUUCAGUGAAUCAUCGAGUCUUUGAACGCACAUUGCGCCCCCUGGCAUUCCGGGGGGCAUGCCUGUCCGAGCGUCAUUGCUGCCCUUCAAGCCCGGCUUGUGUGUUGGGUCGUCGUCCCCCCCGGGGGACGGGCCCGAAAGGCAGCGGCGGCACCGCGUCCGGUCCUCGAGCGUAUGGGGCUUUGUCACCCGCUCGAUUAGGGCCGGCCGGGCGCCAGCCGGCGUCUCCAACCUUCUAUUUUACCAGGUUGACCUCGGAUCAGGUAGGGAUACCCGCUGAACUUAAGCAUAUCAAUAACGGAGGA
rnacentral:misc_RNA from 1 species